GCCUAACAGUGUUUGACCUCCUGCCCGCAAAGCCUUACUCGUCCCCGCGUGAGAGCUCGGCUCGUCUGAGUAUUGGGCGAAGAAACUACAAGGAAAGACGGGUCGGCCGCUCUGAGAACCAGGCCUGACAGUGUCCCAGGGCUGUUGGUCCCAACUGGCCACGCGUGGGAAGCAAGGCUUCACCCUGAUUAACACUGGCAGCAAAGCAGAAACUAGGCCAGGAAGGCCUUUAAGUGGGAAGAGGACCAGUGACCUGACCGUCUGCCUCUGGAUGGCUGUAGAGAGCUCAGGGUGUGCGUCUGUGGCUUGGCAGGCAUGAGUCACCGAGUGGAGGUGGGAGCAUGGGAGGCCCGACAGGGACCAGCCGAACUCCUGCUCACACGAUCUCCUGCCAGAGGCCCCUUUUGGAACUGGAAUUGAUUCCCCACACCUUCUCCUCUUCUCUGCACUAAAUGCAGUCUGUCCUCCCCUUCCUCCCCUGCCAAGGGGGCUCAGCUCCCUGGGCCUGCCCCACCAGGCAGAAUGCAGACCCCUCCUUCCCCACCUGCAGACAGCCUCACCCUGCCCACCCUUGAGGCAGGAGGCCCAAAGGCAGGCAGGAUUGCCCUGUGGGAGAUCAUACCGCUCAAUGGGGCAGAGGCAAACCCAGAACCUGCAGCCCACCUCCUCCCAGUGGCACCCUGGCUGUCCACAGAGGAGGGUCACUGUCACUUACCAGCAAUAUACCUGUCCCCAUCUGGCCCCUGUUGGCCAGACUGUCCCUGGGCCAGGACCCUGUGUUGUUCUCC
ensembl:lncRNA